rnacentral:rRNA from 1 species
CAGCCGCCGCGGUAAUACCAGCCCCUCGAGUGGUGGGGAUGAUUAUUUGGCCUAAAGCGUCCGUAGCCGGCCGGGUAAGUUUCCCGUUAAAUCCAGCGUCUCAAGCGUUGGACUGCGGGAAAUACUGCCCGGCUAGAGAGUGGGAGAGGUGUACGGUAUUCUGGGGGUAGGGGCGAAAUCCUUUGAUCCCCGGAGGACCACCAGUGGCGAAGGCUGUACACUAGAACACGUCUGACGGUCAGGGACGAAAGCUGGGGUAGCGAACCGGAUUAGAUACCCGGGUAGUCCCAGCUGUAAACGAUGCAUGCUAGGUGUUGGGUUGGCCACGAGCCACCCCAGUGCCGCAGGGAAGCCGUUAAGCAUGCCGCCUGGGAAGUACGAUCGCAAGAUUGAAACUUAAAGGAAUUGGCGGGGGAGCACCACCAGGCGUGAAGCCUGCGGUUUAAUUGGAGUCAACGCCGGGAACCUUACCGGAAGCGACAGCAGAGUGAAGGCCAGAUUGAAGAUCUUGCCAGACGAGCUGAGAGGAGGUGCAUGGCCGUCGCCAGUUCGUGCCGUGAGGUGUUCUCUUAAGUGAGAUAACGAACGAGACCCGUGCCACAUGUUGCCACCAGAAUCUAAAAAGAUUGCUGAGCACUCUUGUGGGACCGCAGCCGACAAGGCUGAGGAAGGGGCGGGCAACGGCAGGUCAGUAUGCCCCGAAUCUUCCGGGCCACACGCGGGCUGCAAUGGUAUGGACAGAGGGCUGCCACCCCGAAAGGGGGAGCCAAUCCCUAAACCAUACCUCAGUUGGGAUUGAGGGCUGCAACCCGCCCUCAUGAACAUGGAAUGCCUAGUAACUGCCAGUCAUCAUCUGGCGGUGAAUACGUCCCUGCCCCUUGCACAC